GUUAACCCUGUAUGCAGUGAUCAAGUUGCAUCAGCAAUGCAUACAUGAAGAAAAGGAAAUCACUUGUAUAAAACUUCACAAGUUUUUUGUUUUUUGCCUACUGCUGCCUGAAAAAUGGGAGUAAGCACCAUAAAGGAAAUUAAACUUAUAUAUUAGAACCAGUGAACAAGACAAAAAAAAGCACCUCAAUCCAUCUCUUUCAAGUACAACAUUUGCGAGAGCCCGAUAGUUUUCUUCUACAGAAGUUCCCAAUUCUUGGUAUACAGUUUCAGUAGAUCUUUUAGGACCAGUUUCACUUUUUCUUCAAGAAUCCCACCCAAACUCAAGCAAGCCACCAAUUAAAAUGAAGGAACAGAAAAAACUUGUGAAUUUGAUCACUAAAAAUCCACUAUCCCUAAGGUGAUGCAAAUGAAGAUAUCUAACCUUACUUAUUUUCCUUCAAUAAUAUUCAUAUAUUACUAUACAGUCAUCAAAUCUACAAAAAUAAAUGUCAAUUAACAUAUUCAUCUUCGUAGACAGAGCUCCACAUGCAACAACUUUAACCACCAAAACCUUCAGUUAACAUUGAUAUUACCAAACAAAGCUUCACGCAAAUCAGCUCUCACUAUUACCAGCAAAAACAACUACUUGAACAACAUACAUAUAGUAAAACAAACGACUAACAUGUAGUCAAACAGCAAUUUGAAACUGAAGAUCAUUAAAAAAACACAAAAACCAAAAAUGAUUUGCGAUUUUUGUCCUUUUUGAUCUUUCUACCUACUAUAUCAAGAUGGGAGUAUUGAUCUUUUGACCUGCUAUAUCAAGAUGGGAGUGAAUUAAUAAUAUAUCCGAAACUCCUUUAAAAUUUAAACCAUUUGCAUGUUAAAUUAGCCCAUCCAGGCGUUGAUGCUCAAUGACUAAUUUUACCAAGCAAAAUUUAAGCAGUAUGGACACAAACAGAGAAAGAGAUAUAGAUCAUUUAUAACUAAACAAUACACAUUCAUCUGCAAUACUCUUACUCAUAGAUCACCUAAUAUAUGUACAUGCAUAUACUUGAACAAAUACCAAUUAUGGUCAAUGUACAUACACUUAUAUACAUAUAAUAUUAAA
rnacentral:lncRNA from 1 species